rnacentral:rRNA from 1 species
GAUGAACGCUGACAGAAUGCUUAACACAUGCAAGUCGACUGUGGCGGACGGGUGAGUAACGCGUAAAGAACUUGCCUCACGGAUAGGGACCACAUUUGGAAACGAAUGCUAAUACCUGAUCCUGUGAGAGAGCUUUGCGUCCCAUUAGCUAGUUGGAGAGGUAACGGCGCACCAAGGCGAUGAUGGGUAGCCGGCCUGAGAGGGUGAUCGGCCACAAGGGGACUGAGACCCGGCCCUUACUCCGACGGGAGGCAGCAGUGGGGAAUAAUGGACAAUGGACCAAAGUCUGAUCCAGCAAUUCUGUGUGCACGAUGAAGUUUUCGGAAUGGAAAGUGCUUUCAGUGGGGAAGCGGUACCAACAGAAGAAGUGACGGCUAAAUACGUGCCAGCAGCCGCGGUAAUUC